UACGGAGGGGGCUAGCGUUGUUCGGAAUUACUGGGCGUAAAGCGCGCGUAGGCGGAUCUGUAAGUUGGGGGUGAAAUCCCGAGGCUCAACCUCGGAACUGCCUUCGAUACUGCAGAUCUCGAGUCCGAGAGAGGUGAGUGGAAUUCCUAGUGUAGAGGUGAAAUUCGUAGAUAUUAGGAAGAACACCAGUGGCGAAGGCGGCUCACUGGCCCGUUUCUGACGCUCAGGAACGAAAGCGUGGGGAGCAAACAGG
rnacentral:rRNA from 1 species